ACCAAGCAACCACACCAGGUGCCCUGAUCACAGUGGUGUACGAUACAUACCUAACGGAACGUCACAUCACCACAUGACCAGGAAAAACACAGUAGCCGUUGCUAGGCCACCGCAGUAACAAGUGAAAACAUAACAUUGUAAACAAUGGUUGUUUCAUACAAGAGCUGGUGACAUUUUACAGUCAGUUUCGUGGUCCCCAUUUACACUGGCUGCAUUCAUGGGCAAUGGAGAGCUACAAAACAAACACCGAUAGAUCGGCAUCCUCAAUGAAAGUGAUUCGGAUGAAGGCCCCUCAAUAAGUACUUCCGGAUUAGUGUAAAUGAGACUUCCGCCAUAACUCUCCUGCUGGAAACCAAAGCAGAAUGGUAGCAAUGUUACUUAAGCUGCAGACUUGGAAGACAGCCCAGUAAAGUUGCUUCAAGUUGAGAACACAAUGGUUCUGUACCUGAGUCCUGCCCGUGGGUGGUGUCUCCCCCUCUUCCAGGUGGUGGCUGUUUGAUUUCAUUUCUUGCUUCUGCCGCUGACGCAUGAUGUAUUCAUAAGUGCUGAGUUUGUUCCACACUGAGUGAAAUGGGCACAACACAGUUACCAAAGUGUCUUGUAUAUUCAUCUUGCUCGCUCAUAUUACUAUUCUACAAAUAUAUCAAGCAGGGUGAUACGCAGGAUUUUCCCUCUUUUUGGAAAGAGUUGUAACAGCGGGUUGGGUACGGGAUCCCGGCGGUAUGAAUACAGAUGCUGGGAUCCCGGCAGGUGGGCAACGAAGCUCUAUUCCCACUCCAUGGGUGUCAUGGACACCCAGGAGUGAGAAUAGCGGUGGCGGCGCUGCCUGCAAUCUAUCAGUCGGGGUCCCGGCAUCUGUAUUCUGACCGCCGGGUUCCUGACUAAAUCCCGUAACAGCCAUUUGGGAAACAGGGCCAAAUAGGGAAUGAAAUAUAAUUAACAUUCUCAACUGAUACACAAAAAAAAAGAAAAAAAAAGUUACUUCUGUUUGCAUAUUACUAAUUGCGGUAAAAUUACUUUAAAACACA